rnacentral:rRNA from 1 species
CAAUAGCGUAUAUUAAAGUUGUUGCAGUUAAAAAGCUCGUAGUUGGAUUUCUGGCAGGAGCGACCGGUCACACACUCUGUGUGUGAACUUGCGUUGUCUCUGGCCAUCCUUGGGAAGAUCCUGUUUGGCAUUAAGUUGUCGGGCAGGGGAUACCCAUCGUUUACUGUGAAAAAAUUAGAGUGUUUAAAGCAGGCUUAUGCCGUUGAAUAUAUUAGCAUGGAAUAAUAAGAUAGGACUUCGGAACUAUUUUGUUGGUUUGCGUUACGAAGUAAUGAUUAAUAGGGACAGUUGGGGGUAUUCAUAUUUCGUUGUCAGAGGUGAAAUUCUUGGAUUUCCGAAAGACGAACUACUGCGAAANCANNNACCAAGGAUGUUUUCAUNAA